rnacentral:rRNA from 1 species
GACGAACGCUGGCGGCGCGCUUAACACAUGCAAGUCGAACGGAAAGGCCUGCUUUCCCUUGUGGAUUGCGGGUACUCGAGUGGCGAACGGGUGAGUAACACGUGAGUGAUCUGCCCCCAACUUGGGUAUAAGCCUGGGAAACUGGGUCUAAUUCCCGAUAGGACUGCAGGGUGGUGCCUGUGGUGGAAAACGAUUUUCUAGUGGUUGGGGAUGAGCUCGCGGCCUAUCAGCUUGUUGGUGGGGUAAUGGCCUACCAAGGCGGCGACGGGUAGCCGGCCUGAGAGGGUGGACGGCCACAUUGGGACUGAGAUACGGCCCAGACUCCUACGGGAGGCAGCAGUGGGGAAGAUUGCACGAUGGGCGGAGGCCUGAUGCAGCGACGCCGAGUGGGGGAUGACGGGCUUCGGGUUGUAAACUCCUUUCGACCGCGAGGAAGCCACCUGGUUGGAAGGGUGGUGACGGUAGUGGUAGAAGAAGCACCGGCUAACUACGUG